GCACCCACAAUAUAAUGCAUCAUCCUUAUUGUCUGUACGCCAUUUUGUAAUACGAGAAGAAAGACAGUGAACAGUCAGUAACAGCUACCUGCCUAUGUUGCACUGUAUGAUGUCAUGACAAAACAAGAAUAUGAUUUCACACUAAUUACACAUAAAAAUUUGUACCAACCCAGAAGCAGAUACAGGUAUUUGAAAUAAGGUGAUGUUGUAGGAUUAAUGGGGGUUGGACUCAUUGUUGUUCCAGUUGUUGUCACCUGAUUUUCCACGACAAGAAUGAUAGUGUUAGAUCCUGUGAAGCCUCCAUCAUGAACAGCACACGAGAUCAAACUACCAUGCAUGUCAGGCGACACAGAUGAAAACUCUAUUGUUUCCCAGAUAUGUGUGGAAUUCUGAUGUGACAUCUGAUCAACCACUGGAAAAAAAUUUAAAACAGGUGUUGGUGAGGUCUUUUCAGAAAGACAAGUGGCUUCAACCUUGUCACCAAUGUAAUAGGAAAGUUUUGACAAAGAGCAAACAGGAUAUAUAUUCGAUGGUACUUGGAGAACAUUCAGAUAGGCUUUUCUUGAUGAUAAAUUGUAGGUGUCAUUAACCCUAUAGACACACAUAUAAUCCGCUUCAUCCGAUCUUUCUGCAGGAUUGAUCUUUAUAAUAAAUUGAUAAUUUUCCAUAUUUACUCUUCUUGUUUCAAACGAAUAACGAGAGUGACCUGCAUCUCCACCUAGGCCUAGAGGCAUAUUAUGUUUAAUCCAGAAAAAGUUAUCGGUUGGCUCCUGAUGUUUGAUGAGCAACACACAACUGAAUGAUGCAAUUUCUCCUUCAGUAAUUGUAGUAUUUAAAGGAUCUACGAGGAAUGAGAUAUCCUGAGCUGUUGAUCUGACUGUAAAAACAAGCAAAACAAUUAAUAAUCCAAAAUGGGACACUAAAAGUACUUCCAUUCUCAGUAUUACCAUUUUUUUUAAUAGUCCUAAAUAAAAGUAUUUAUUAUUAUAUAUUACAAGUAAGAUACAAUGAAUACUACUAUUGAUUAAAUUCGUUUUAAAAUUAUUAUUAAUAUACACAAUUUAUAUUUCAGUAUUCCAAGAGUAAUAUCAUAUUUUUAUGUGUAUUAUUUUCAACCAUGGAAAAACAUUACAUCUCCAGUGUAUUACAUGAUCCAGGAGGCUCGAGGAGGUCGACAAACCAUUAGGCCAUUAUAUGUAUGGUAUGGUAAAAAAAGAAUCAUCUCGUUUGGAUCAAAAUGAUAAUGAUACAAGUUAAUUCUCCAACAUUCAAAUAUUAAAAUAAAGUUGAUUUGAUUAAAUUUGAGCUAGUGGUUGAUUUUA